UACGAAGGGGGCUAGCGUUGCUCGGAAUUACUGGGCGUAAAGGGCGCGUAGGCGGAUGUUUAAGUCAGAGGUGAAAGCCCAGGGCUCAACCUUGGAACUGCCUUUGAUACUGGGCAUCUUGAGUAUGGGAGAGGUGAGUGGAACUCCGAGUGUAGAGAUGAAAUUCGUAGAUAUUCGGAAGAACACCAGUGGCGAAGGCGACUCACUGGCCCAUUACUGACGCUGAGGCGCGAAAGCGUGGGGAGCAAACAGG
rnacentral:rRNA from 1 species